GCCAACACUGGGAMUGAGAACUGCCCAGACUUCUACGGGAGGCUGCAGUCGAGAAUCUUUCGCAAUGGGCGCAAGCCUGACGAAGCGACGCCGUGUGUGUGAUGAAGGCCCUCGGGUUGUAAAGCACUUUCGCCUGAGAACAAGAAAGCGUUGUUAAUACCAGCGUAAUUUGAGAGUACCAGGUAAAGAAGCACCGGCUAACUCC
rnacentral:rRNA from 1 species